GGGAGUCACUCUGCCACCUGUAGAGGAUGUCUUUGAACAUGUUUUGAAAUGUGGUUUCCCUGAGGGAAUAAAGGAUAGUAUGGAAUUUGUGGAAUUUGAAGAACGGUGAAGAUCAUCUAGUGCUGCCUCAACACCCUGAGGUGCUCUGCGCCACUUUCCAAGCAAGUAGUAGAUGGUUAAUUAUUUACUUGUUCCAUGGGCUCCUGAAGGACUUAGGUGCAGAGAGAAAUACAUUUCAGUGUUGUUUGCUCUAAGUACUGUAGUCUGUAAGUUUUAUAGAGGUUUAUAACUAUAAUUCUUUUUCCUUAAAAAAAAUCAAUCAAUCAAACAAACAAACAAACAAACAAACAUGUUAUUUCUUGCAGAGAAACUCUAACAAGAUUUGCAAAGAAACAUCCCAAAUUGGUAUGCCAGC
rnacentral:lncRNA from 1 species